rnacentral:rRNA from 1 species
UGGGGAAUCUUGCGCUAAUGCGCGAAAGCGUGACGCAGCGACGCCGCGUGGGGGAUGAAGGCCUUCGGGUUGUAAACCCCUUUCGCCAGGGACGAAGCGAGAGUGACGGUACCUGGAGAAGAAGUCCCGGCUAACUACGUGCCAGCAGCCGCGGUAACACGUAGGGGACGAGCGUUGUCCGGAUUCAUUGGGCGUAAAGCGCGCGUAGGCGGUCGUGCAAGUCGGUUGUGAAAUCCCGGGGCUCAACCCCGGGACUGCGUCCGAUACUGUGCGACUGGAGGCAGGUAGGGGAGAUCGGAAUUCCUGGUGUAGCGGUGAAAUGCGCAGAUAUCAGGAGGAACACCGGUGGCGAAGGCGGAUCUCUGGGCCUUGCCUGACGCUGAGGCGCGAAAGCUAGGGGAGCGAACAGG